GAUGAUUUCGACCACAACAUACCUCUCGGUGAGUCAUCUUGGAGCUCUAGGGUUCAAGUUCAAGCCAAUCGAAGAAAUGUCGUUUCCCUUGUGGAACAAGGCCGUCAUCUCUUCAUUCAGUUUGGCUAUGAACUUGUCAAGACAUGAUAUACUGAUCUUUGUUACUAAAUCUUGCACUCAAUUUCAGAUUCAAUUUAAAUCUUUCAUUCAGAAAAACAAAAUCCGGAACAACUUUUCCUUUAUAUUUUUGAAGUUUUUUUCAAGUGCCGAUUCAAUUGUCAAUUUUAAGUUCGAAGGAUAAUUUUUUCUCUCUCCAGUUGCUACAAAAAAAAAAAAAAAAAGUCUAUCUCCUUGGGAUUAAAAGUAGCUUUGAUGAUGUAAGUCCAGUCCAACCCAAAAACAUAAGCCCUCAAACAACGCCUGUUGUUGAAAACAAGCAGAAGCAGCAGCAUUCAUGAGACACAUAGAGAAGGAAACCAGUCCACCUUCGCCUUUCUCUCCACCUACAACAGAAAACAUAGAAAGCAAUCGCCUCUUGUAUCCCUCUCUUUAUUUUUCUCCCUUUCCUUCAGGUCUGGUCUAAGCACGCUGCGUUAGAAGACGACAAGUGUGCUCUAAAAUUAGAGACGGGAGUCGUGUAUCUGAUUUAUCAAUCAUGCAGAUAAGUGAAACGGUGAUAGCUGAAUAGAUCAUGGUGAAUAAAAUGGCAGCAAAGUACGAGAUUGAAAGAUUCAAUAGGAGCAAUUUCUUACUGUGGAAAUGAGAAUCAAGGCAAUCUUAAGGAAAGAGAAUUGCUUAGUAGCAAUUGGGGAUCGGCCCGCGGAGAUCACUGAUAAUGCAAAAUGGAAUGAGAUGAAUGACAAUGCUAUUGCUAACAUACAUUUAGCAUUAGCCGAUGAAGUAUUAUCAAGUGUGGCGGAGAAGAAAACAGCUAAGGAGAUAUGGGAGACUCUAACAAAGCUAUACGAGUCCAAGUCUUUGCACAAUAAGAUUUUCUUAAAGUGGACUUUAUACCCUUCGAAUUGCAGAAACCACGGUGGUGACUGACCACAUCAACACAAUAAGAACUCUAUUUUCACAACUCAUUACGUUGAGUCCACAAAUAGAGGAAAAUGAACAUACAGAGCUUCUA